rnacentral:rRNA from 1 species
AUGGAAUCGAAUAGAAGAGUUGGCGUCCAAAGAAAAAGCGACUACAUCUUAGGGGCCGUAGAUGGCAGGGAUGACCCUGGUGUUGCCCAUCUCGAACAGCGCCAACCCGUCGGCCCUGGAGAAGAUGUCGACCUCGCCCUUGAGCUGCCGCAUCUCCAAGGCAAGGCAGCAAACAUGAAGAAUCAGAGGCAGUCGAGCCAGCAUGAAGAGGAUGAGGCUACUCUGCCGUGGACAAGAAGAUUUUAG